GCCCGCGUGGCCUAAUGGAUAAGGAACCGGACUCCGGAACUGGGCUUGGGGGUUCGAGCCCCCCGUGGGACA